rnacentral:tRNA from 1 species
GGCCGGCUGGCGCAAUGGUAGCGCUUCAGACUUCUACCUUCUCUUCCCGAGAUGUGGUCAUCUGGAGGUUGUGGGUUCGAGCCCCACGUUGGUCA